ensembl:miRNA
CCCGGGACCUUGGUCCAGGCGCUGGUCUGCGUGGUGCUCGGGUGGAUAAGUCUGAUCUGAGCACCACACGGGCCGGGCGCCGGGACCAAGGGGGCUC